UUGGUGGGCAGGGCAGCCGCGGGUGAUUUAUCAUUCGAGGAAAGUCCGGGCACUAUAGGGCAGGAUGCCUCCUAACGGGAGGGCGGGUGAAACCGACGGCAAGUACAACAGAAAAUGAACCGCCUUUUUUGCUUCGGUAGAAUAGGUAAGGGUGAAAAGGUGCGGUAAGAGCGCACCGGGACUUUGGUAACAGAGGCCGCAUUGUAAACCCCAUCCAGUGCAAGACCAAAUAGGGAGAGAGAGGCGGCCCGUCUCAUUUGAAUUUCCGGGUUGGUUGCUUGAGAUUUUUUGUGAAAAAAAUCCUAGAUAGAUGGCUGCACAUUUUAAUUUUUUUAAAAAAUUAGAAGGACAGAACCCGGCUUAUAUGCCCACCACUUCU
rnacentral:RNase_P_RNA from 1 species